rnacentral:misc_RNA from 1 species
GAGCCACCCUUAAGGAAGGAGGUUAUUGAAUACAUGCUGGAUGUGGGGUCUCACAUCUAGUUCAGUUUCUUAAAAUGAACAUAUUAAUAUAUAGAAGAUAUAAAGAUUAUACAUACAAAAUUAAAUUAUGAGUAUGCAUAAUGAGUGUAAAAAAACAUGUGUUUAUAUAAUUUUAACGAUAAAUAUGAUUUUAUUUUAACAAAAUUUAUCAUAAUCAAA